GCCGGGUGCAGUGGCACGUGCCUGUAGUCCCAGCUACUUGGGAGGCUGAGGUGGGAGGAUCGCUGGAGCCCAGGAGUUCUGGGCUGUAGUGCACUAUGCUGAUGGGGUGUCCACAUUAAGUUUGGCAUCAAUAUGGUGACCUCCCAGGAGCAGGGCACCACCAGGUUGCCUAAGGAGGGGUGAACUGGCCCAGGUCAGAAACAGAGCAGGUCAAAACUCCCGAGCUGAUCAGUAGUAGGAUCGUGCCUGUGAAUAGCCACCGCACUCCAGUCUGGACAACACAGCGAGACCCCU
rnacentral:SRP_RNA from 1 species